UGGGGAAUAUUGCACACUGGAGGGAACUCUGAUGCAGCGACGCCGCGUGAACGAAGAAGGCUUUCGAGUCGUAAAGUUCUUUUAUAUGGGAAGAUAAUGACGGUACCAUAAGAAGAAGCCCCGGCUAACUACGUGCCAGCAGCCGCGGUAAUACGUAGGGGGCUAGCGUUGUCCGGAAUCACUGGGCGUAAAGGGUUCGCAGGCGGAAAUGCAAGUCAGGUGUAAAAGGCAGUAGCUUAACUACUGUAAGCAUUUGAAACUGCAUAUCUUGAGAAGAGUAGAGGUAAGUGGAAUUUUUAGUGUAGCGGUGAAAUGCGUAGAUAUUAAAAAGAAUACCGGUGGCGAAGGCGACUUACUGGGCUCAUUCUGACGCUGAGGAACGAAAGCGUGGGUAGCAAACAGG
rnacentral:rRNA from 1 species